ACCGAGCGGCGACGGGUGAGUAACACGUGGGUGAUCUGCCCUGCACUUCGGGAUAAGCUUGGGAAACUGGGUCUAAUACCGGAUAUGACUGCUGAUCGCAUGGUUGGUGGUGGAAAGAUUUAUCGGUGCAGGAUGGGCCCGCGGCCUAUCAGCUUGUUGGUGGGGUAAUGGCCUACCAAGGCGACGACGGGUAGCCGACCUGAGAGGGUGACCGGCCACACUGGGACUGAGACACGGCCCAGACUCCUACGGGAGGCAGCAGUGGGGAAUAUUGCACAAUGGGCGAAAGCCUGAUGCAGCGACGCCGCGUGAGGGAUGAAGGCCUUCGGGUUGUAAACCUCUUUCAGCAGGGACGAAGCGAAAGUGACGGUACCUGCAGAAGAAGCACCGGCUAACUACGUGCCAGCAGCCGCGGUAAUACGUAGGGUGCAAGCGUUGUCCGGAAUUACUGGGCGUAAAGAGUUCGUAGGCGGUUUGUCGCGUCGUUUGUGAAAACCCGUAGCUCAACUACGGGCCUGCAGGCGAUACGGGCAGACUUGAGUACUGCAGGGGAGACUGGAAUUCCUGGUGUAGCGGUGAAAUGCGCAGAUAUCAGGAGGAACACCGGUGGCGAAGGCGGGUCUCUGGGCAGUAACUGACGCUGAGGAACGAAAGCGUGGGUAGCAAACAGGAUUAGAUACCCUGGUAGUCCACGCCGUAAACGGUGGGCGCUAGGUGUGGGUUCCUUCCACGGGAUCUGUGCCGUAGCUAACGCAUUAAGCGCCCCGCCUGGGGGAGUACGCCGCAGGCUAAAACUCAAGGAUUGACGGGGCCCGCACAGCGCGAGCAUGUGGAUUAAUUUCGAUGCAAC
rnacentral:rRNA from 1 species